rnacentral:rRNA from 1 species
AUUGAACGCUGGCGGCAUGCCUUACACAUGCAAGUCGAACGGCAGCACGGGUGCUUGCACCUGGUGGCGAGUGGCGAACGGGUGAGUAAUACAUCGGAACAUGUCCUGUAGUGGGGGAUAGCCCGGCGAAAGCCGGAUUAAUACCGCAUACGAUCUACGGAUGAAAGCGGGGGACCUUCGGGCCUCGCGCUAUAGGGUUGGCCGAUAGCUGAUUAGCUAGUUGGUGGGGUAAAGGCCUACCAAGGCGACGAUCAGUAGCUGGUCUGAGAGGACGACCAGCCACACUGGGACCGAGACACGGCCCAGACUCCUACGGGAGGCAGCAGUGGGGAAUUUUGGACAAUGGGCGAAAGCCUGAUCCAGCAAUGCCGCGUGUGUGAAGAAGGCCUUCGGGUUGUAAAGCACUUUUGUCCGGAAAGAAAUCCUUGGCUCUAAUACAGUCGGGGGAUGACGGUACCGGAAGAAUAAGCACCGGCUAACUACGUG